rnacentral:rRNA from 1 species
GAUGAACGCUGGCGGCGUGCUUAACACAUGCCAGUCGAACGAAGCACCUCUCCCGAAGAUUGACACAGCUUGCUGUAGAUUGAUUCAUUUGAGGUGACUGAGCGGCGGACGGGUGAGUAACGCGUGUGUAACCUGCCUCAUAGAGGGGGACAACAGUUGGAAACGACUGCUAUUACCGCAUAGUAAGAAGAAUUCGCAUGUUUUCUUCUUGAAAGAUUAUCGCUAUGAGAUGGACCCGCGUCUGAUUAGCUAGUUGGUAAGGUAACGGCUUACCAAGGCGACGAUGAGUAGCCGGCGUGAGAGAGACAACGGACACAUUGGGACUGAGACACGGCCCGAACUCCUACGGGAGGCAGCAGUGGGGAAUAUUGCACAAUGGGGGAAACCCAGAUGCAGCGACGCCGCGUGAGUGAAGAAGUAUUUCGGUAUGUAAAGCUCUAUCAGCAGGGAAGAUAAUGACGGUACCUGACUAAGAAGCCCCGGCUAACUACGUG